ACAAGUAGUGUGAACGAAAGAUGAAAAGAACUCUAAAACAGAGGGUGAAAAGUUCCUGAACUUGCUUAGGGUUAAGGCUAUUUAUAGUACCCGUCUUGAAACACGGAUUAGGGAGUUUAUCUGUAGUGCGAGUCUUUGCACGUUAACUGUAAAGGCGUAGAGAAAGCAACUGGCGUUUGCAUGGCUACUGAGCAUUACUGAUAGGACCCGAAAGGUGGUGAACUUUGCCUGCACAGGUUGAAGUCAGGGGAAACUCUGAUGGAGGACCGUACGGGUUAUUGAUGUGCAAAUCAUUUUUCUGAUGUAGGUAAAGGUGCGAAAGACUCAUCGAACCACCUAAUAGCUGGUUUCCUCCGAAGUUUCCCUCAGGAUAGCUGUAAUGCAUUUAGUUAAGGGGAGUAGAGAUAUGGGUAGAGGUGCAGGGAGCCUUCGGGUUCUCAACUUAUUUCCAAACUUCGAACCUCCUUGUUAGGCAUUUACCUAACUGGAAAUGCUUAAAUGAAUUAGCGUUACAAGUGGGCUCUGACCGGUAAGCGGUCAUGGCGAAAUGGGAUGAACCAUACGUCUGAAUAAGGUGCCGAAAUGUACUAUCACUGAUACCAUAAAGGGAGUCCAUGUAUUUAGACAGCAGGUCGGUGCCCCUAAAAGCAGGUAUCCGCUAAAGAGUGUGUUAAAACUCACCUGCCGAAUACUAGGGCCCCGAAAAUGAAUGGCGCAUAUAGUACUACCGAUCUCAGACAUCAGUUCUAUUGAACUGAGAGUAGGGGGAUGUGGACAUUUUUGUGAAGGUGCAAUGUGAGUUGGACUGGAAGAAUGUCUAUUACAGAUCCUAAUUGAAGUAGCGAUUAUCCAGGCUUGUAUCCUGGGGGCUGAUGAGGAGUAUGGUUUCUGGACAACUUAAACAGAUCCAGAGUUAGUCGAUCCUAAUCUCAAUAAUGGGAGAAAGGGAGUACAGUUGAUAUUCUGUAACUGACAACAGUUCGCGGCAACGCAUACUAUUUUUCUCGCAUCUAUAC
rnacentral:ncRNA from 2 species